UUCCGGUUGAUCCUGCCGGACCUGACUGCUAUCGGAUUGAUACUAAGCCAUGCGAGUCAUUGUAGCAAUACAAGGCAUACGGCUCAUUAACGCGUAGUCAACCUAACCUAUGGACGGGAAUAACCUCGGGAAACUGAGAAUAAUGCCCGAUAGAACAUUAUACCUGGAAUGGUUUAUGUUCCAAAUGAUUUAUCGCCGUAGGAUGGGACUGCGGCCUAUCAGUUUGUUGGUGAGGUAAUGGCCCACCAAGACUAUUACAGGUACGGGCUCUGAGAGGAGUAGCCCGGAGAUGGGUACUGAGACACGGACCCAGGCCCUAUGGGGCGCAGCAGGCGAGAAAACUUUGCAAUGUGCGAAAGCACGACAAGGUUAAUCCGAGUGAUUUCUGCUAAAGAAAUCUUUUGUUAGUCCUAGAAACACUAACGAAUAAGGGGUGGGCAAGUUCUGGUGUCAGCCGCCGCGGUAAAACCAGCACCUCAAGUGGUCAGGAUGAUUAUUGGGCCUAAAGCAUCCGUAGCCGGCUCUGUAAGUUUUCGGUUAAAUCUGUACGCUCAACGUACAGGCUGCCGGGAAUACUGCAGAGCUAGGGAGUGGGAGAGGUAGACGGUACUCGGUAGGAAGGGGUAAAAUCCUUUGAUCUAUCGAUGACCACCUGUGGCGAAGGCGGUCUACCAGAACACGUCCGACGGUGAGGGAUGAAAGCUGGGGGAGCAAACCGGAUUAGAUACCCGGGUAGUCCCAGCUGUAAACUAUGCAAACUCAGUGAUGCAUUGGCUUGUGGCCAAUGCAGUGCUGCAGGGAAGCCGUUAAGUUUGCCGCCUGGGAAGUACGUACGCAAGUAUGAAACUUAAAGGAAUUGGCGGGGGGA
rnacentral:rRNA from 1 species